rnacentral:piRNA from 2 species
UGGGAGUUGGCUGAACUGUGGGGACCCUC